GUAGAGCGAGAGAACAUGAAUAGUAUUGGGUGAGAGAGAGAGAACAUGAAUAGUAUUGGGUGGUAGAGAGAGAGAGAGAGAACAUGAAUAGUAUUGGGUGGUAGAGAGAGAGAGAGAGAACAUGAAUAGUAUUGGGUGGUAGAGAGAGAGAGAGAGAGAACAUGAAUAGUAUUGGGUGGUAGAGAGAGAGAGAGAACAUGAAUAGUAUUGGGUGGUAGAGAGAGAGAGAGAGAACAUGAAUAGUAUUGGGUGGUAGAGAGAGAGAGAGAACAUGAAUAGUAUUGGGUGGUAGAGAGAGAGAGAGAACAUGAAUAGUAUUGGGUGAGAGAGAGAGAACAUGAAUAGUAUUGGGUGGUAGAGAGAGAGAGAACAUGAAUAGUAUUGGGUGGUAGAGAGAGAGAGAGAACAUGAAUAGUAUUGGGUGGUAGAGAGAGAGAGAACAUGAAUAGUAUUGGGUGGUAGAGAGAGAGAGAACAUGAAUAGUAUUGGGUGGUAGAGAGAGAGAACAUGAAUAGUAUUGGGUGGUAGAGAGAGA
ensembl:lncRNA